AAUCAAAUACCUAUAUUAUUUGUUUGGGAUAUUUUUGUACUGGCCGGAGGCAUGGGAUCCGGAGGACUUUUGAACCUAGCUUUCCUCCAUGCACAUGCUUUGAGAAUUGCCUUGGGUCCUUUGAAUCUAAUAGAGGCUUUAAUUGCCCCAUCCCUUUUUCCAUCUCAUCCUUUCAUCAGCAUCAAAAUAAGACAAAAAGAAAAAAAGAGGACAAAAAGAGAAAAGAUG
rnacentral:lncRNA from 1 species